UCUUCGGAGUCUGGGGUGGUCGCGAAGAUCCUGGACGAACCCCCAAAUGAAAGAUCCCCGAAGAGAGACCCUUACUCAAGUCUUGGGAAAUCGUGGACCCCAGACACAGAGAGACCA
rnacentral:pre_miRNA from 14 species